CCUACGGGAGGCAGCAGUGAGGAAUAUUGGUCAAUGGGCGAGAGCCUGAACCAGCCAAGUCGCGUGAGGGAAGAAUGGUCUAUGGCCUGUAAACCUCUUUUGUCAGGGAAGAAUAAGGAUGACGAGUCAUUCGAUGCCAGUACUUGACGAAUAAGCAUCGGCUAACUCCGUGCCAGCAGCCGCGGUAAUACGGGGGAUGCGAGCGUUAUCCGGAUUUAUUGGGUUUAAAGGGCGCGUAGGCGGGACGGCAAGUCAGCGGUAAAAGACUGCAGCUAAACUGUAGCACGCCGUUGAAACUGUUGACCUCGAGACGAGACGAGGGAGGCGGAACAAGUGAAGUAGCGGUGAAAUGCAUAGAUAUCACUUGGAACCCCGAUAGCGAAGGCAGCUUCCCAGGCUCGUUCUGACGCUGAUGCGCGAGAGCGUGGGUA
rnacentral:rRNA from 1 species